rnacentral:rRNA from 1 species
CAGCAGCCGCGGGAAUACGGAGGGUGCAAGCGUUAAUCGGAAUUACUGGGCGUAAAGCGCACGCAGGCGGUCUGACAAGUCAGAUGUGAAAUCCCCGGGCUUAACCUGGGAACUGCAUUUGAAACUGUCAGGCUGGAGUCUUGUAGAGGGGGGUAGAAUUCCAGGUGAAGCGGUGAAAUGCGUAGAGAUCUGGAGGAAUACCGGUGGCGAAGGCGGCCCCCUGGACAAAGACUGACGCUCAGGUGCGAAAGCGUGGGGAGCAAACAGGAUUAGAUACCCCUGUAGUCCCUGUCUCUUAUAC